rnacentral:misc_RNA from 1 species
CAACCCUCGAACCCCUCCGGGGGGUCGGCGUUGGGGAUCGGCCCUCCUCUUGCGGGGGCCGUCUCCGAAAUACAGUGGCGGUCUCGCCGCAGCCUCUCCUGCGCAGUAGUUUGCACACUCGCAUCGGGAGCGCGGCGCGUCCACAGCCGUUAAACACCCAACUUCUGAAA